rnacentral:rRNA from 1 species
UGGGGAAUAUUGGACAAUGGGGGAAACCCUAAUCCAGCAAUGCCGCGUGAGUGAAGAAGGCCUUAGGGUUGUAAAGCUCUUUCGCCCGCGAAGAUAAUGACGGUAGCGGGAGAAGAAGCCCCGGCUAACUCCGUGCCAGCAGCCGCGGUAAUACGGAGGGGGCUAGCGUUGUUCGGAAUUACUGGGCGUAAAGCGUACGUAGGCGGAUGCGCAAGUUGGGGGUGAAAUCCCGGGGCUUAACCUCGGAAUUGCCCUCAAAACUGCACGUCUUGCGACCGAGAGAGGUAAGGGGAAUUCCUAGUGUAGAGGUGAAAUUCGUAGAUAUUAGGAAGAACACCAGUGGCGAAGGCGCCUUACUGGCUCGGUACUGACGCUGAGGUACGAAAGCGUGGGGAGCAAACA